AGGGAGUUUGAUCCUGGCUCAGGAUGAACGCUGGCGGCGUGCUUAACACAUGCAAGUCGAACGAAGCACUUGUGAAUGAUUUCUUCGGAUUGAUUUCACUUGUGACUUAGUGGCGGACGGGUGAGUAACGCGUGGGUAACCUGCCGUAUGCAGGGGGACAACAGUUGGAAACGACUGCUAAUACCGCAUAACCCGCUAGUACCGCAUGGUACAGACGGAAAAGAUUUAUCGGCAUACGAUGGACCCGCGUCUGAUUAGCUUGUUGGUGAGGUAACGGCCCACCAAGGCGACGAUCAGUAGCCGAACUGAGAGGUUGACCGGCCACAUUGGGACUGAGACACGGCCCAGACUCCCACGGGAGGCAGCAGUGGGGAAUAUUGCACAAUGGGGGAAACCCUGAUGCAGCAACGCCGCGUGAGUGAUGAAGUAUUUCGGUAUGUAAAGCUCUAUCAGCAGGGAAGAAAAUGACGGUACCUGACUAAGAAGCCCCGGCUAACUACGUGCCAGCAGCCGCGGUAAUACGUAGGGGGCAAGCGUUAUCCGGAUUUACUGGGUGUAAAGGGAGCGCAGACGGUUGCGUAAGUCAGAAGUGAAAGCCCUUGGCUCAACUGAGGGACUGCUUUUGAAACUAUACAACUAGAGUACUGGAGGGGCAAGCGGAAUUCCUGGUGUAGCGGUGAAAUGCGUAGAUAUCAGGAGGAACACCGGUGGCGAAGGCGGCUUGCUGGACAGUAACUGACGUUGAGGCUCGAAAGCGUGGGGAGCAAACAGGAUUAAGAUACCCUGGUAGUCCCCU
rnacentral:rRNA from 1 species